rnacentral:misc_RNA from 1 species
UCCCUGUUACCAGGGCAGUCUAGCUAGAAAAAUACAACUAACUAUAAGGGUUGCGCUCGUUGAAGGACUUAACCUAACAUCUCACGACACGAGCUGACGACGGCCAUGCAUCACCUGUCACCGAAUUCCUUGCGGCACAAUUUCCUUUCGGAUAUCUUCUCGGGAUGUCAAACCUGGGUAAGGUUCUUCGCUUACCAUCGAAUUAAACAACACGCUCCACCGCUUGUGCGGGUCCCCGUCAAUUCCUUUAUGUUUUAAGCUUGCGCUCGUACUCCACAGGCGGGAUGCUUAACGCGUUAGCUUCGCUACAAGAAGGGUCGAUACUCCUUACAGCUAGCAUCCAUAGUUUACGGCGUGGACUAC